rnacentral:SRP_RNA from 1 species
CUGUGCUAGACGGGGAGCUGGCGGUGCCCUGUAAACCGCAAUCCGCCAUAGCGGUGUCGAUGGCUUUUUGAGGCUCCUCUUAUGGAAGGCCGCUUGCAGUAAGGGAUGUUGAUUCUAAGGUCUCGUGCAACGUUAUGCUGUGAACCGUGUCAGGGCUUGACCGCAGCAGCACUAAGCAGAAGUUAGCGUGUGCCACGAGGUAGCUUUAGAGGAGUUACCUGCUGCAAUAACGCUUCGGUAAGAGUUGUCGAGGAAAGCUGCACAG